rnacentral:rRNA from 1 species
UACGGGGGAUGCAAGCGUUAUCCGGAUUUAUUGGGUUUAAAGGGUGCGUAGGCGGUUUGAUAAGUCAGCGGUGAAAUAUUUCAGCUUAACUGAAAGGGUGCCGUUGAUACUGUCAGGCUUGAAUAUGGUUGCUGUGGGUGGAAUGUGUGGUGUAGCGGUGAAAUGCUUAGAUAUCACACAGAAUAUCGAUUGCGAAGGCAGCUCACAAAGCCAUUAUUGACGCUGAUGCACGAAAGUGUGGGGAUCAAACAGGAUUAGAUACCCUGGUAGUCCACACUGUAAACGAUGAUAACUCGCUGUCGGCGAUACACAGUCGGUAGCCAAGCGAAAGCGAUAAGUUAUCCACCUGGGGAGUACGACCGCAAGGUUGAA